ensembl:lncRNA
GUCUUUUAUAGGGCUGCACCCAAGGCAUAUGGAGUUCCCAGGCUAGGGGUCUAAUCAGAGCUAUAGCCACCCCAUCUUUCCUCUUCCAGUUCUUCCAGAAGAUAUACCCUGCCUCCAGUAGUUGUGGCUCUCCUUAAUCACGUGACUUCCUUCUUAAGAGACAAAGCAGGCUUCUAAUCCCAGUCCCCAACAUGUCAGAGAAAGUAGCAUUUAGAGGCACUGGUGGGAAGGACUCAGAAUUUUUCCCAUACAUCCAAACUUUUAACAACAAACUUUUUUUUUUUUUAAAGAAUCACAGAAAAGAUUUGGGAACUGAUCUACAAACUCAAAAGUGUAAACCAGUCAAGAAAUAAUUAUGCAUUUUACAUUAAAAUAUUCAUAUUUGUAUUAUAUGCAACUUUCCAAUUUCCUGGAAUUAAUCUUCAUGUGUCCUCUAUUUCUACCUCACACAGUUUCUAAAAACUAUGUGGGCCUGGAAUGUUACUUUAUAAAUAAAGUAUUAUUAUCUAACUAUGUAAAUGCAACCAUCUGUAAUCUUUUAAAUAUUAUAAAUGUGAUGGCAUGCAAGUGGGGUUUUUAAAUAAAAAAUUCAAAAGCCACAAAGGCACAAGAACAAUAAGUCUUGUUACUUGCAUCAAAAAGGCAGUAUUUUGUUACACUGUUAACAGACUUCCAAUGCAGUUAGAUUUAAAUUUAAUAUUUUACUUCAGUUUCUUGAUUUACCAAUUUUAUGUUCUAUCUAUUGACUGUCCAUAGAAGAAAUGAGCACUGACCCUUCCCCUGUGGCCCUCUGUCUUCUAAUUUUAUAGAUUAUAUUAUAGAGGUGUACGACUGUACUCCUUAAGUACCCAUAACUAUAAUUAAGUCUAUUUUAUAUAUUUUCUAGGUUGAUUCUAAAAACUAAAAAUUAAUUAAGUGCAUUUAUAAUGUGACUAGCUAAAUACUAAUUACUGAAGAAAAUGUAAUUUUAUAUCAUUUAGAUAGUACUGGUUGAAAGAGAAUGUCCAUGUAUUGUGACACUCUUGAAUUUUCUUCUAGCCUUCUAUAUUUCUUUUUAAAGCCCAAGAUUGCCACUGUAGCUACCAGGUUUUUCCCCCCAACACUGCUGUACCACCACAUCCACUAUCUUAGAUUAUAUUUUUCAUUGUACUACAACAUCUCAAAUAUUUUCAUAUAAGGUACACAGUUUUUCUAAGUGUAAAAAUGUAUUUGUCUUCAUAUGAUAAAUAGUGCGGUUAAUUAUAAAAAAAAUUUCGGUUCAAAUCUACUUUCUUCCAAAUGGUGAAAAACAGUACUUCACUGUCCUCAAGCAUUCAGCAUGACUGCUAAGAACUGAGUUAUCGGACUUUCCAUUUUUUAAUCUCCUCUCUCUGGCAAUAACUGAGGAUUUUCUUUUUCUCUUUAAGAGUGCUGAAAGUUUGCCAGAUUUGUCUAGCUGUAGGUCUUUUUCCAUGCACCUUGCAUGGUACUAGAUGGGGCUCUUUUAAUCUGAAAUUCUUUCUCCCCCUCAUAAAAUUAUCUUCAAUAAUUUCUUUCAAUAUUUCUCUCCUUCUCAUUUUUCUGUUCUUUACUUCUAGAACUCAGAUUUAUGAAACUUUGUGUUGUAUUUUCCAUACCUUUUUUCUCUCAAUUUUUCCAGCUUUUUUGUUUGUUUGUUUCUUAUACAGAGUUCCCCAUCUUUAGUUUCAACUCAACAACUCAGUGUUUUGUUUUGUUUUUUUGUCUUUUCUUGGGCCACACCCGUGGUACAUGGAGGUUCCCAGGCUAAGGGUUGAAUUGGAGCUGUAGCUGCCGGUCUACACCAGAGCCACAGCAAUGCCAGAUCCGAGCCAUGUCUGCAACCUACACCACAGCUCACAGCAACGCCAGAUCCUUAACCCACUGAGCGAGGCCAGGGAUCAAACCCGCAACUUCACGGUUCCCAGUGGGAUUCAUUAACCACUGAGCCACAACGGGAACUCUCAACAACUCAGUCUUGAUUCAUGCUAAAUUGUUAUUUAACCCAUAUUGUUUUUUCUUUACAAUUUUCAAAAUAUUUUGUUUUACGCCCCCUUUUCAGUGAAACUAUGAUUAAUCACUGCAACAUGUUCCUAUAACUUAGUAAAAUACAUAUUACAUUUUUCCUUUGAGGUUUUCUUCUGAAUUACAGAUGAGGUCAGUUGUACUUUCGCUCAUCUUAAUCCUCUUCCAUCUUGAUUCUUCUCAACUGCCUGAUUUUCCCUCUUUGUUUAUAUUGGCAAAUAAAAGAUUAGAGAGUAUAACAAACCACUGUGGGCUUUCUCUGAGGUUGUUCAGAUUUGUUUUCCCAAAUAGCAUCUCCUUGAAACGGGAGAAUAGUACUGUUUAGGCAGGCAGGGGAUACGGAUAAGCAGGCACCCCAGAAAGGUAACUAGACAGGAAGUCAGACUUGCUCGGAUACACCAAAACUGCCUUUCUCUAAAAGAGACAUGCUUCAGUGGCUCUGCUUCUCUCUCAGGUUCCAACAUCUCAGAUGUCCUAAUAAUCUGCUGGUCUGCUUUUUUUUCAAAGAGAACAGCUCUUAGAUAUCAGGCAUAAGGGCCGACACAACUGUCACUAGAGCUGUUUAGACUGGAGAAAGGGUGGGAAGGAGGUCCAACUAAAGAUUUGGAAAAUAAAUCUUUAAAAAAUACUUCUAUUACCCACUUGCCUACUACCAUUCUUUGUAUUUGCUGACUCCAAGCUGAGAGUCUUUCCGAUGUUCCCCUAGGAAAACCUGAGCUUACCUCUGGCAUCAUGAGUUCCAAUUUCCUCUGAGAUUUUGCUGUCAAUCUGAUUUCAUGAACUUUACAUCUUCUUCAAAAUUUCUGGUCUCCUGAUAAUACCUACAGUGGACUGGGAACUGUAAUUUUACUGCUCAACAUGCUUUCUCCCUGCCUCAUUUUUUCAGUACCAUAAGCCUUUUUGUCUGUGGGGAAAAUAUUCCAUGUGAUUUGGCUGGAGGUCAGUUUUCCUAGUCACCCUUGGGGUGGCCACAUGACCCAGGUCUGGCUAGAAUGUCCCAUCCCCCUCUCCUUUGGCAGCCAUCUUUGCCAAAUUUGAAAAUAAAACUAAUACAGAAGAAAAGAGAGACUAAAAAUGUUGAAGAAAAAACUAGUACUGAUGUUAUUAUUCAAAUCUAGACUUACCCAUGCCUAAAGCUGGGUCUUCUCCCCUCCUUCUCCAAAUCUGAGCAUACAUAAAGUUACAGAGCUAAUGAUGUUCUUUUGUUCUGCUGCAAGGUGGUUUAACCAUUGUAAUAACAUCUGUUCAGGCUUUUCAAAACUGUGGUUUAGUUAAACCUUUAAACUAUUUAAGUGGGACGUUGGGAAGAAAGGAAGUUAAAUAAUGUAUUCAAUCCACCAUUUUAAAAAGAAAAGUCAAAACAAUAGCUAUAAAAUAAACCUGAAGAAAUAAAACUAAAGCUUCAUAGUUUGGUGUUAAACAUAUAAUGAGGAAAUAGCUGUAAAUUUUAUUAAAUACAUCUUAUCAUUCCAUAAGACAUCUUUCAUACCUCUAGGGGAAAAAAAGGCAGAUAUAAAAACCAAUUCUAUCUUAACUAGUUUUUUCCCUGAGUUAAGAUUCCAAUGGUUUCAAAAAGAACAAGGGAGGAAAGGUUGAUAGUGAUUUAAAAUAUUUUAAUCUAUUGUCUAUCCAGAGAAAACUCUGAAUGGUUAUAUAGUGGCAACCUCUGGAAGAAAAUUUCUUUGGCUUUGGUGUGAUUAUGUGGACAGAGGUAUGGAAGGAGUUGUUUACUUUAUAAUUUUAGAGGUGAUAAAAAGCACAGAAGAUAACUGAACUCCUCAAAGUAUGAAAGAUGAAAUGCAAUACUCUUAACCUAAGGUAAAUAAUCCAUGGUUCAUAGAUUUAUGCCUCAGAAACUACAAUCCUUCUGAAACAAUUUGCAAAAUGCUGUAUUGUAUGUAUUUAAGUACAUUUGAGGAAGAACAGGUCCACAGUUUUCAUCAGAAUCUAACUAAAAUCCAUGAUCGAAAAAAGGUAAAGAAAACUGCU